CUCAGAUAUGGUAUCUAAGUUUGGUAUCUACAACUAUUUUAGAUUUUAUGUUUAUCAAGAAAUUGUAUUAGAUUAUCUAUGAAUAAUGCAAGUUUGAAUAUAACUGCUCAAUUUACCUGCUACAUAUAGAUAUAAAUUAAAUUGUACUAUUAUUCUACUUUACAACAGUGAUCAUUGGACUAUCCAUGGUACUAAAUAUGUCAACUUUUUUGUAUU